UGUCGUGUAGGCCAGCAGCUGUAGCUCGGAUUGGACCCUUAGCCUGGGAACCUCCAUAUGCCAAGGGUGAGGCCCUAAAAAGACAAAAAGACACAAAAAUAAAAAUAAAAAAUAAAUAUCUUAGAGCCUCUUGACACUUCCCAAGUCGAGAACAUGGACUUCAAGGCUAUGGUGGUAACUUAGGUAUAAACUAGGACAAACAUAGAAAAGAGGUGAGCAGGUUAGGAAAGAGUUAAAAAAAAAAUUCUGAACACCUUCUCCUACCACCUCUGCAAACACAGAGGCCAAGAGAAAAUGCGCGCACACACACACACACACACACACACACACACACACACACAUUCCAUCAAAGAACCUGUUUUGCAAGUUUUGCUGGUAAAAAGCAGGAAGGGGGUUGCUAGAGAGCGGAGUGGAAAAGCCUUAGAAGUAUCCAUAGAAGGCUUUUCAAAACCUAAGUUUUCAAGGUAACUUUAUCCUGCAGAGAGAGGCACAUGCACCUCUGUAGGUUUUUCUUCAACCGAUUAAGCGCAUUGUUAGACAGGGCGGGGCAGAUUACCGAAUGCCUAUAAUUUUGAUCAUUGUUUUUUGCAAAACAGCUCAGGCUUUGAAAACGAAGCCAUCCUUCUUGGCGAAGUUUCUGCCAACAGCACAAAUUAGACCGUUUGGAGCUCCAAAGCCCCUGAAAAGGGUUCAUUAAUGAACAAUUCGAGACGAUUAAGUGUUCGCCCGACAGGUACCGUUGGCAUGUAGGCAGGUGGGGUUAGGGUUUCCGUGGAGAUUUAUGAUGUCAUGCUUGAAAGAGCAUGUCAAGACAGCCAAUUUAGCAAGUAGCUCCUCAAAAAGUCCUAUAGGCUGGAAGUAGCUUUUAUGCAAAUGACGAGAGUUUCACUGGGAAAAACUGCAAAAGAAAAUAGUAGAGCCAUGGGGGGGUUUACCUGACAGCUCAGAAGAUGACCCGGGAGUCCAUUAGAGACGAAAACUCCAGAAGCUGAAUUAGAUUUUCUCCUUUAACUGCCACUUCACCUGUGGAGCUCCAGGUACAGAUACUUCGUCUGUUCUCAUUCUCAGAUAACACUACUUUUGACCAUUGUGCUGCUCAACAACAGUGCCCCUGGAACUAGAUGAUAGGAAUCUUUACCCCCCCAAAAAUAAAAAUUGGCAGUGUGCCCUUGUGAUCAUGUGAGUAUUUGCAAUUGGAAGUGAAAAGUUUGGGGUAGAAAUUGUCAGCUUUGAUUGCCAUGAGAUUUAGUUAUUUAUAACUUGUUUUCCCUCUUCUUCAGAAAUAGAUGAAAUAAGUUUUCAUCAAGUAUCCAGUAAGAGCCAGGAAUUCAUGUAGCUGAGGGAAACGUAAAGAUUAAUAAAGAUGAUUUGUGUGCUCAAGGAAGGUCAGGCUGGUGACAGACUCUCAUAUCUUUAGAACCGGUAGAAUAAAUCUUCUGUUAGGAGUCUGAGUCAGGCAUUAUCAGAACCCAGAGGAGGACAGAGUUCUCCCCAGGUGAGGGAACUGGAAGGACUUCAGAGAGAAGGAUGUAUUUGAAUUGAUCUUAAAAGAAUGAUAGACUGCUAAUGCAGCUAACCAGGCUUUUCUAAAGAGUCAAAUUAUUUUUGUAGUUAGGGCUUAAUAGGAGUAAUAAUGCUAUAAAGGGAGAAAAAGCACCCACUGAAGCAAACCUGUUCUCUUUUCACGUAGGUGUCAUACUUGGCAUAUGUUGGUCUAGAAACAACUUGAUGAUUUGCUCACUGCUGCAGACUCUGCCCAACAUCACACAGCAAACGGAGUCUUGAAAUUUGAGUGUGGGUUGAAUGUUCAUAAAUAAAUUGCGUUUCCCUUUAUCUUACAUUUAAUUAAAGAGGUGAUGUGCUUUCUGAUUACCCUGUAUUUGGCAGGGGUAGCUAUUCCUUUAACUCUGUUUUCCUGCCCUAUAGCUUCCUUCUCCAGUAGUUAAUCACCAGCAUCCUUAGACUAAGUUACUAGAGGGUGAUGCGGUUUAAAAAAAAAAAAAAAAAGUCAGUGAGCAGGAAAGGAUUAUGGCGCAAAUCAUUUGCUCCCUAGUUCCUUUG